GCACUGAGUCAACGACGUACCAAUUCGACGCGCCUUAAAAACAAAGAAAUUGUUCGUGCAAGACGUACAAAAGGUAUGGAAUAAUUUGUGGUUCCAGGGGUAAUAUCCUCAACAGCGUGGUCACUCUUUAAUUAAUUAGCUUUAAGAAUUAUCACGUCUUUCAGUAACGUGAAAGGCUGAAAGCUUAUUAUUGCGAGGCUAGAUGCGUUACGUGUCAUUUUGACGAAUUUUUAAAUAAUUGUGACUACUACCCGUAUUCUAAAAGCUCACUCACUCUCAAUGCGUGGAAGUUCAAUCUGAGCUUCUCUCGAGUCAGUCGAUCGAGUGUUAUUGUUGUUUUUGAAUAGCUGGAGGGCUAUAGUCUCGUACGUUACUAUGUGAUUACUCACCCUCCAGCCAUUCAAAUACAGGAUUGACACUCAAGAGAAGCUCAGAUUGAACCUCCACUCAUUAGCCCUAUUCAGAUUAGAGACGGACAAGUCGUCUAGACGAACAAAUCGUCUCUCAAAAAUCGUC